rnacentral:lncRNA from 1 species
CCAUCGACCACCGUUCAUUUUCUCUGACAUAGCUAUUCCCUACAGAGCGAAAUGAGAGAGAGAGAAAGAAAGGAGAGAGAAGGCGAGAGAUUGAUCGUUGAUUUCAGAAAGUGAAGAGUGAUUAAUCUCUGCCUGUGAUUGCUACGAUGUCGUACUUCAGAAGGUCAAGGUAUUCCUACUCUCCAUCCCCGAAGCGAUACAGUGGUUCCCUUUUGAGGUCU